rnacentral:tRNA from 1 species
GGACCCGUAGCUCAACUGGAUAGAGCCCGUCCCACCAAGGCGAAGAUGCAGGUUCGAGUCCUGCCGGGUUCA